UUGAUACUCUCUCCGUCCCAAAAUUCUUGUCUUAGAUUUGUCUAAAUACGGAUGUAUCAAGUCACGUUUUAGUGUUAGAUACAUCCGUCUCUAGAAAAAUCUAAGACAAGAAUUUUGGGACGGAGGAAGUAGAUA
rfam:Triticum aestivum genome assembly, contig: Triticum_aestivum_CS42_TGACv1_scaffold_374714_5AL